rnacentral:misc_RNA from 1 species
CAGUGAGAGAAAGAGAGAGAGGGAAAGAUGAAGAGAGAGACAUGAAAGAGUCAAUUUAUCUCUAUCUUUCCCCAUACCUUUCAUUCUCUCUCUCUCACUCCACCUCUCUCUUUCCUUAUUUUUUCAUGUACUCUCAAAAUUUUUACGCUUUUAGCAUUUAUGGCUUUAACUUUAUAUUUUUAUUUUUUUUAAUUUAGGACACGUACUUUCAUAUUUUUACAAUUUAGAACAUGUACUUUCACCUUUUUACACUUAGAUGACAAAAUGAGCGAUGGCAUAAAAUUUCAUGACAUGGCAUGCUGACUUGGCACCCAUGCAUGACGUAGACUAAUGUGGCAUUGAAGUGGCAUGCAUAACGCCAUAUCAGUGUUAUUUAACACCGUUAGCAAUUUGUCCUCUCGUAAAAAUGAAGUCAAAGUUCCUGUCUUUAAUUGACAUAAAACAAAAUAUAUGUCCUCAAUGCUAAAAAGGCCAAAAUACAGGGUACUAAAGUGUACUUAGACUUUUUUUUUUUUUUUAAUUCUUUUCGAGUUUUGGAUUGGUGGAGUUUGAAGCUGAUGAUUUGGGGUAAUGAGAGAGUAAACAAAACUUCUUAGAGGUAAAUUGGGGAAGGAAUUUGAGAAUUCGACGAGGAAUCGAGUUAUCAUUUGAUGCGUUAGAUAAGGAUUUGUCUUUUUCUUGUUUUUUUCCCCCCCUUGAUCUGGUUUGGUUCUAU